CCUACGGGCGGCAGCAGUGAGGAAUAUUGGUCAAUGGACGAGAGUCUGAACCAGCCAAGUAGCGUGAAGGAUGACUGCCCUAUGGGUUGUAAACUUCUUUUAUAUGGGAAUAAAACGUUCCACGUGUGGGAUUUUGUAUGUACCCUAUGAAUAAGGAUCGGCUAACUCCGUGCCAGCAGCCGCGGUAAUACGGAGGAUCCGAGCGUUAUCCGGAUUUAUUGGGUUUAAAGGGAGCGUAGGUGGAUUGUUAAGUCAGUUGUGAAAGUUUGCGGCUCAACCGUAAAAUUGCAGUUGAAACUGGCAGUCUUGAGUACAGUAGAGGUGGGCGGAAUUCGUGGUGUAGCGGUGAAAUGCUUAGAUAUCACGAAGAACUCCGAUUGCGAAGGCAGUUCACUGGACUGCAACUGACACUGAGGCUCGAAAGUGUGGGUAUCAAACAGGAUUAGAUACCCUGGUAGUC
rnacentral:rRNA from 1 species